rnacentral:lncRNA from 1 species
CGCGCACACACACCGCGGGGAGUCCAAACCUCGCUGGCUCCACUAGCUGGCUGGACCCGCCCGCUCAGCGCCUUGCGCGCCCUUGGCCCGCCAGAAGGCCCCGGCGUCAGAGGGCUCCGGCGCCUGCCUCCGCCGUGCGUACUCGGGGUGGCCCUGGCCCCAGAAGGGCCGUCAGCUGAAUUUUCCUGGACUAGGUGAGCGCCUUCCGAAAUCCGCCAGGCGGGAUCCUUUUUAGGGCCGAGAAAAAGUUGCAAGUAGCAGCCCAAUUCCCUGCUGCCUCUUUCUUCAGUAAAGCUAGCACCUUCAGGGCCCAGACAUUUGCCCACCUUCCCUCUCCUCUUCUGGAGAUAAUUUGGCCAAGUCACUUCCCUAUGCACAGCUGCGGUUUCCCGCUCGGGUUCACUGUUUAUUUGGAAUUUCUUUAAAACCAGCGGCGCCAAAUUGCCCUCGCUCUGCGUCUUCUCUGGGCGGGCCUCCGCCCAGGCCUUUCGGAGCUUCCAGAAGGGCGCAGUCGGGCAAGGAAGGCGCGCGCGAGAGGCCUGGGCCUAGCUGGGACGCGUCCUUCGAUCCUUCGCUCGAUUUCCCACGCCUGGUUCCCCCCACUGAUUGAGCUCCGGCCUUCACCGCGGGCCACCUCACUUCGGGCUCCGACCCAGUGGCGUCUCAUUAGGCGGAAGCCAGGGGGAAUCGGGAUGUAGAUCCCCCGGAGAGGACGUCUGGACCCAUUUCCACCCUCAUCAGACCUCGAGUUCCUUAUCUAUUGUCUGAAAUGCCCUCACAGGCCCGAGCUCAUUGGCGAAGCAGCCACCAAGUGAAAGUAGGCAGAGAUGUCCGGGGCCAGAGAAGGCACCACCACGGCUGACGGCUGACGUUCCGGCGUCCAGUGCGGGGGAAGAAGCCACCGCUGCUCGCAACCGUGACCUGGGCGAGGCGGAGGUCUCAUCGAAUCUGCUCAUUUGCCUUUGUCCGGGACAAGCCUCGAUCUCUUCCUCCCUGGACUCCCGCAGCCCCUCAGUUACCCCGGGGAGCGUUGUUUGUACCACUGCCCUCCUCUUCGGAGAGCUGCCCGCAUUUGGAUUUGGCCCACCAAUCCGAGCAGUUCAAGGCCCGCCUGGCGAGGCGCUGCGCGCGGUCCUCCCUCUAGCUUCCUGGGCUGGGGUGGGGGACCCCCUUCUCCCCUAGAGACCCUCUAGAGCCAGAGUGUUGAUGAUCAUUACUUUAAAUUAAAAGUCCCUUUUUUCCUUCCCG